rnacentral:ncRNA from 1 species
CAUUAAAUUUGAUUCUGGUUUAUGUAAGUAUUUGUUUGAUAAUUUUAAAUAUGUAAAUUUUUGUGUGAAAUGGAAAUUAAUUUUAAUAGUUAAUUUAUUAAUAUUUAAUUUAAAACGCAGUUUUUAUUUUUAUAUUAUCUAGUAAUUUAGGAUAUAGUUAAUUAUUUAUAUAACUAGCAAAAAUUGUGCCAGCAGCUGCGGUUACACAAUUAGUUAUAAUUACUUUUAUUGGAUAUUUAUUAAUUUAUUUAAAAUUGGAUAAAUUCUUUAUAGAUUUUUAGGUGAAAUUUAAAUUUAAGUUAUUUUUUUGGUAAUUAAUUGAUUAUGAGAAAUUUUUUAAUUAGACUAGGAUUAGAUACCCUAUUAUUUAAAAUGUAAAUUUUUAUUCUUAGUAUUGUGAGUUAAGAUCUUUAAAUUGAAAGAAUUUGACGGUAAUUUAAUCAUUUUAGAGGAACCUGUUCUGUAAUUGAUAAUCCACGAUGAAUUUUACCUUUAAUUUUUAAUUUGUAUAUCUCUGUCUGAAGAAUGUUUUAUUAGAAUAUUUUCUUAAAUUUUUAUAUGAAUUUUAUGUCAGGUCAAGGUGCAGUUAUAUUAAGGUUUGAAAUGGGUUACAUUUAAUUUCUUGAUUGAUUAUUGGAUUAAGAUAUGUAUGUAUUUUAUGAAAUUGGAUUUAAUUGUAAUAUUUAAUAUAUAUUAAAUAUGAUAUAUGUUCUUGAUUAAGUACAUAUCGCCCGUCACUCUCAUUCUUAAAAUGAGAUAAGUCGUAACAAAGUAGUUCUACCGGAAGGUGGAGCUGGAAUUAUA